ACGCCCAGUUAAAUUUGAAUUUCAGAUAAGCAGCAAACAAUUCUUUUGAACCAGGUACACCUCAUGCCAUAUUUGGGACAUACUUAGACUAAAAAUUAUUGUUUAUUUGAAACUCAAAUUUAACUGGCAUC
rnacentral:pre_miRNA from 14 species